AAGGUUACACUGUCUCCUUUUUCUAAUCAGUAAAACUAAUCUCCCCGUGAAGAAGCGGGAAUCCUUAUAUAAGACGAGAAGACCCUAUGGAGCUUUAAACGAAAUAACAUCUACCAACUCAACCAACAAUUUCAGAAAAUUAACACUAAACUUGGUACAAUGAUUACUAGUUUUAGGUUGGGGUGACCGCGGAGCAAAAAACAACCUCCGCAUUGAAUGGACUUAUAAUCCUAAACAAAAAGCCACAACUUUAUGUAUCAACAUAUUGACAUCCAUUGACCCAUUAAUUUGAUCAACGAACCAAGUUACCCUAGGGAUAACAGCGCAAUCCAUUUCAAGAGCUCCUAUCGACAAAUGG
rnacentral:rRNA from 2 species